GGAAGCCGGGGUGGGGGGGGGUGUGGGGGGGUGCGGCUGCCAGAUGGGAGGAGCAGAGGCGCCCUCCUUCCCAUCCUCAUUCUGGAAGCAGUGGUUUUUCCUAGACGUGGGAGCAGAACCCACGGAUGGACCGAUCCAGGCUGAACCCCCAUGUCUGGUGACAUGAGGGGUGGAGGGGCCGCUCUGGAAGACUCUCUUGUAACACUCUGGGUGCCGACACCGAGCUCACGCCGGGAUGCCAGCCCGAUCCACGCGGAGGCCCCGCUCUGAGGAGCAGCCAGCACCCUGGCAGUCGGAACUGAGCAGACCGAGUGCUACAGUGGGGGAUGCAGCAGCCUGGAACAAAGACCCUUCUAGACAGGGGCCACGUGGGCGAUAUCUGUGCCAACCGGCCAGGCAAGGAAAGAGGCGGAGAGGGCAAGAGGAACAGUUGGGAAGGGCAGUCCAGGCAAAGGGAACAGCAUGAGCAAAGGCCCAGAGUCAGGGAGCUUGGGGUGGUCCGGAGCCACAAGUCGCAGCCCUUGGUGCAGCAUGAAGGGCGGGGGGAGGUGGUGGGAGAUAACCCCAGGGGGCUAGUCCAGUUGGCUCUCUUGAUUAUUAGAUGUCUUAAGUUUGUUCUCCAGCCGCAGCUGAGCCCGUGCCCCAGGGUAGGUCGCUGUCCCAGCAAAUGAGUGACCCCAAGAAUCAGAAAUCAGUCGCUGACCGCUCAAGCAGGAAAGGAGACUUUAUAGCAAAGGCACAGGAUGUUCUCAUGGAGCCCGGACACGCAGCCCAGUUUGGAGCACGGGCACUCAGAGCUCUUGGAUUCUUUCUCGGCACCGCUUGCUUGCCUGUCCCAUUUGCCCGCCUGCGUCCCACCUGCCACGCUGAUGUGGCCUGGAUCCCUUCUCCCAGAGAGAACUAUGUCCGGGUCCCAAACCCCGGGAAGCAGGAAUCGGUUAUGGCCAGUGGUCAAGUUUAUAUGUUACAUUUCUGUCAUGACAAAGCGAGGAAGGGCUACGAGAAGAGGGGGCCAGAUGGACAGCCAAGAGCAUCCACUCUCCAUCACACACACACACACACACACACACACACACACACACACAUGCUAAUUCCUUCGGCUUUCCCCAGAUAUCUCCAUUCUGAUUGGUCUUGCUUAAUCGUUAUACCACAAAGUCCACCGCAAAUAUCUCGUCCCCCUGCCAAAUGGGAGGCGAUCCAAGUCAGGUCCAACUAUUGCGUCCAGGGCUCCAUUCUCAGAGCUGGGAUCUUCAGCUGACACCCGGUCCUGCCUAUUUCUAUGGAGUCUCAUCUAAGGUGGCUCCUUGGAUCUGUCUCAAUCUAUAGGCUAAGCGAUCAGUUUAACCUCUCCUUCCGUGCUUGAUCUCUAGAGCAGAAAAGGGAAGGAAGAUACAGAGAACACACCCUGGUCUUCUAGCCAGGAGGAGUAAAUUAAACCUCAGGAACAAGA